rnacentral:tRNA from 1 species
UGGGGAGUGGUCUAAGGGCAAGACGCAGCUCUUUGGAAGCUUGAGAUGGCGGUUCGAAUCCGUCCUCCCCAG